UACGUAGGGGGCAAGCGUUGUCCGGAUUUAUUGGGCGUAAAGAGCGUGUAGGCGGCCAGGUAGGUCGGUUGUGAAAACUGGAGGCUCAACCUUCAGAGGUCGACCGAAACCAUCUGGCUAGAGUCCGGGAGAGGAGAGUGGAAUUCCUGGUGUAGCGGUGAAAUGCGCAGAUAUCAGGAAGAACACCCGUGGCGAAAGCGGCUCUCUGGAACGGUACUGACGCUGAGACGCGAAAGCCAGGGGAGCAAACGGG
rnacentral:rRNA from 1 species